CUGUCAUCCAGAAUCUCCAUGGAGCAUUUGGCUUCAAACUGAACCUGAGCAAAGAGAGAGCAAGAGCAUGAAGGGUGAGGAGGUAGGCAACCAGCAUGGAGACCAAAAAGCCACUGAAGCAUCCCAAGCCCUGUGAAGGUAAAUAGCUGAGUCAGCAAGAGCUCAAAGAGGCACCACAAGCUGCAGAACCCAGCCCACACAGCUGCUCCCAGCCUCUGUCAUCAUCAGCAAAGCAGCCCCAGAGCCCCAGUCUGAAAGACGUAGUGGAGAAGCCUUGUACAAUAAGCAGAGAUGCAGAUCUCCCUGCACAAAGGCAACACUUCGGUCUGCCAGGAAGUGGGACAAGUCCCCUGACUCCUUCCCCACCCUCCCAUCACCCAACCAAAAAAAAAAAAAAA